rnacentral:lncRNA from 1 species
AUGAGGAACUUUGUUCACAGCCUUUGCUCAGAGCCCAGAGCAGCACAAGGCACGUUCUUUCUGGCCGAGAAGGUUGGCGAAGGGAAACGGAGUAUGGAGCUACCCAAAGGUGACGGUGCUGAUCCCUGCACGCGGUCACGAUGUUCAUGGUGGCAGAAACCACGGGACUCCAAGUCAGAAGAUCCCAGCGGCCAGGCCCUCCUUGGGAAGCCUCCGUUUCUCCCUCAGCAAAAUAGGGUGAAUGAUAAAGAGCCUACAUCAGCCAGCUCCACGGACCCAUCGGGCGGUAAAAGACUUGGCGGGGAGCCUGACCAGGUGCAAUCUGGUGGUUGCAAGCAGCACGUCCUCAGAGUGGAGAGCCGCCCCUGCCCGAAGUUCUUCAGGUCCCAGGAAAACCCUUGAGGGAUGCCAGGGGCCGGAUGGUCUCAGAGGGUGGAUGAGGCUAUUAUUACAGCUGUUGCUAUUAUUCUUAAUUUAAUUAUUAUACACACGAAAUGGGGUUGGGUGUGGUGGACCAGGCUUGAAGGGAGGGGUGAGGAGAAAGAACUCAUGGGCUGCCUGCCCUGCUCAGUUCAGGAGGCAGGCUGGGCUGGGUGCAACCAGUCCCUGCUGGUGUGCUGUCUAACCUGGGAGGGUACUGUUUCUGAGACAUGACAGUGUAGCAGCACCUAGAACUUAAAAAAACAAAUAUAAGCACUUAUUCAUUCCUUAGUAAGUUUUUCUUGUGUACCUACUAUGUGCCUAGCACUAUUCUAGGAGCUGAGGAUACAGCAAUGAACAAAAUCGACUAAAAAAAAUUCCUGCUCUCUUGCCGUUUAUGUUGGUGUGAGGUGAGAUAGAUAAUUUAUAAAAUACAUAAUUAGAUGGCAGAGGAUGUCUGAUGAUGAGUGCUAUGUAGGGGGUGGGACGAAAGGAGAGCCUCUCUGAGAAGGUAAUAUUUGAGCUUUAAAAUAGUUCUAUCUGCUGUUGGUGGGAAUGUCAUUCGUGCAGCCACUAUGGAGAACAGUAUAGACGUUCCUUUGAAAACUAAAAAUAGAGCCACCAUAUGAUCCGGCAGUCCCACUCCUGAGCUUAUACCUGGAAAAUAUGGAAACUCUAAAUCAAAAAGAUACAUGCUCCCCAGUGUUCACAGUAGCGCUAGUUAUAAUAGCCAAGACAUGAAUGCAACCUAAAUGUACAUUGACAGAUGAAUGGAUUAAGAAAUUGUGCUGCAUACAUACAUAUAAUGGAAUACUAGUCAGUCAUAAAAAAGAAUGAAAUAAGGCGAUUUUGCAGCAACAUGGUUGGACCUAGAGAAUAUAUACUAGGUGAAAUAAGUCAGAGAUAAAUAUCGUAUGAUAUCACUUAUGCGUGGAAUCUUAAAAAAUGAUACAAAUGAACUUAUUUACAAAACAAAAACAGACUCAGACAUAGAAAACAAACUUAAGCUUACCAAAGGGGAAAGCGGGCAGGCAAGGAUACAUUAGGAGCUUGGGAUUUACAGAUACACACUCUUCAUAUAAAAUGGAUAACAACAAGGACCUACCGUAUAGCCCAGAGAUCUAUAUCCAGUAUUUUGUAAUAGCCUAUAAUGAAAAGAAUCUGAAAAUAUAUAUAUCUAUAUAAAAACUGAAUCACCUUACUGUAUACCUUAAACUAACACAACACUAUAAAUCAACUAUACUUCAAUAAAAAAAUAAAAUAGUGCUCUCUGGGGAUUGGUGACAAUGGUGCAUUCAGUUGUGAAAAUGCAUUGAGCUCUGUGCAUUUAUGAUUUUAUGCAUUUUCCUGAAUGCAUUUCAAACCUUAGUGUUUGUUUAGAUUUAGUGCUAACAAAAUCAUUUAGUAAUAAUAGCUAUCAUUUACUCUUGACGUACUGACUGUGCUUCCACCAUGAUAGGUAUUUUCCACUCAUUAUCUCAUUUAAUCCCGAUGAUUCAGCUAACAUGUAAAUAUUAUUGCUCCCCGCUUUUGGAGAGGAAGACAAUUAGAGUGCAGCAUAGCUCUCUUGCCCUUGACAGGCACUGUGGACACAACAAUGAAUGACCCAGCUCCCAUACUCCAGGAGCUUGAAAUCCAAAGGAAGUACAGCAUAAGGGGGCUGUGGAGAAAGUGUGGGUGCUUUCAUACCACCCACAAGAAUGGAGACAUGAAACUGAGCCCAAGAGGCUAGUGCCAAGGCAGGCCUCCAGGAAAUGAUGACUAAGCCAGGAGGCGGAUUCACCAGGCAGGGGUUUUGAGGGCUGUUAUAGACAGAGGAGAAUGUGUGGCAUGUUUGGGGACUGGAGCUCGGCACAGCUGCCCAUAGAACAGGAGGAAGUAACAGGCAAUUUCUUUGGGAGGUAGGUGGGGAUCAGAUCAGGAGGGUCAUGUUAAGAGGUUUAUCCCAGAAGGGAUUAGAGCACACAGGACUACAUUUGUGUUUUGAGAGACCAGUGUGGCCACAGUGUGACAUCAGGAUGGGGGUUGGGGUGGGGGUGGGAAGGAAUCCUGGUGGCCUGAAAUAGAGACAUGGCAGUGGGAGCAGGGAGAUGUGACUCUAUUCCAGAGAUACUGGGAAGGUUGCAUCUAUCCUCCUUGGUGCCGAUUGGAUGUGGCCAGUGAGAGGCAGGAUAGAGUGAUGUCCAGGUCUCUGACUUGGGGUAUUGACACCAAUCACAGAGAUCGUCCAGUGGGGGGAGGGCGGAGUGGCAGGAGGAAGGAAGAUUUGGCAGCAAAGGAAAGGAGACUUGAAGGGCUGGUAAAACUUUCUAGUAGCCCAGCAGCAGUGACAGGCAGGCAGCCCCACAAAUGCGUGGAGUUGGCACUGAUGCAUAGACCUGCUGAAGCCCAUUGAAUGGCUGAAAGAGCAGCACAGAAGAGGAAGGCACAGGAUGGAUUCCUUUCGGAUCAUCUGGGAUGUUCUGCUCCCACUGCUGCAGUCUCCCCAGCACUGUACUUCCCAAUCCUAACACUCACGUUUUGGUAAUUAUUUACUUGUCUGAUGUUUUAUUUUCUCUAUGGAACUCACCAUCAUCUAAAAUUGUUAGUUUUGUUUUUUGUUCAUUGUAUGCCUCUGCACUCCAGAACACAAACCUCAAGAGGGCUGGGACUCUGUCCUCGCCCACUGCUAACAUCCCUGAGUCUGGCCAACAUGUAUUGAUCUCUAUGAAUGGCCCGCCCACUGAUCUGACUGGUAGCAGGUGACACAGACCCACAAGAGUGCAGGACAAUGGAUUUCCUUGUGCAGUGAAGUUGCUGGACACUAGUUUUGCACUUUGCACAGUACUGAAACACUCUAAGUGAAAAUUAGAGCUUUGUGAAACUGAUUCUAAAAAUGAAAUCUGAAAGACAAUAUCUCAUCUCUAAAAAUCUCCAAUUGCAAGUUUAUAUUUUAGAGCUGCAUUAUGUGUCGCCUUCAGUAGAGAAACUCCUGCUCAUUAAGACGUAUUCUUCCUCCUCUUCCCUUCCCUCCUUUCCCUCCCUCCCUUCAUUCCUCUCUUCCUUUCUUUAUUUCAGCCAAUACAUGAAUAAUCAGUCUUGUUCUCAGCAGAGGUUCAGAGGUGAAUAGGACAGACAAGCUUCCUUCCCUCCCUUCCACCUCCUGGAGUUUACAUGCUGUUGGGAGGGCUGAUGAUAAACAAAUGAAUGAUGAAUGAUAUUCCUGCCUUCAUGGAUCUUAUAUUAAAGAUAUGAGUCCAACCUUAUAUUUUGUUAAUGAUUCAUUUGUGAAUUACACAUUUAAGUAAUACCUUCAACAAACAUUGCUGGAGCACCUUCUAUGUACCCCUGCCAGGUGUGGGGAUAAAUAGUCCAUUAAGACUGUGUUUAUCUUUCCUUGUCUUGCUUCAGUGAAGAUGAGUUAAGAAGAACUAUAAAACAGCUGGAUAUGUACUCUACAAGUGGGGUGCCUGGAGCUGUUAUGGAACAAAGGGAACCCCAGCUCACUCUGGAACCACCUGAGGUCUGAAUGGAUUUCUGCCCACCAUUGUCACUGAUAGUCAGAAAAUGCUCAAGAAGAAGGCAGAAAAAGAAGUUUCUGGCAAUGAGCAGAAAGUGGCUACCAACAUGUAAUUAUAAAGACAAAAAUGAAUGGCUUAGGUGGAAUUACAAGCUGCUUUGACAGGGUUAGAGGGCAGCGUGUGCCCAGGAAAGUAGACCUGAAAUGUAGAUAGAGAUGUGAGCCACAAUGAUGGGUUUCAAAAAAGGGUCUUUUGAGUCAGGGUAAGGAGCUUAGACUUGAACCUGUGGAGGAUGAUGCUGGGUGGACAUUUUUCCUCAGGCAAGAGACACAAUCAGAUUUGCAUUAGAGAAAGAUCAUCAGACAGUGGCAAAGAGGAUGGAGAAAGUUUUAAAAGAGAGAGAAACUAGAGACAGGAGACAACCACCUUUGGAAUGGAUUAGCAAUGAGAUCCUGCUGUAUAGCACUGGGAACUAUAUUUAGUCAUUUAUGAUGGCGCACAACAGAGGAUAAUGUGAGAAAAAGAAUGUAUACAUGUAUGUGUGACUGGGUCACCUAACUGUACAGUAGAAAAUCGACAGAACACUGCAAACCAGCUAUAAUGAAAAAAAAAGUCAUUAUAUAAAAAAAUAAAAAGUUGGAGUUCCUGUCGUGGCGCAGUGGUGAACGAAUCUGACUAGGAACCACGAGGUUGCGGGUUUGAUCCCUGGUCUUGCUCAGUGGGUUAACGAUCUGGCAUUGCCGUGAGCUGUGGUGUAGGUUGCAG